GCUGGGUGUGGUGGUGCACACCUGUAAUCCCGGCUACUAGGGAGGCUGAGGCAGGAGAAUGGCUUGAACCCAGGAGGCGGAAGUUGCAGUGAGCCGAGAUCGUGCCACUGCACUCCAGCCUGGGUGACAGAGCAACACUCUGCCUCAA
rfam:Gorilla gorilla gorilla genomic chromosome, chrX, whole genome shotgun sequence